CUGGACUCUCAGGGAAACACUCAUUCCAUGUGUUUCACCUUUUAGGGGUGGAACUUUGGAGACUGUGAGUGGUAACGAACUGUAAGUCGCUCUGCAGAAGAGCGUCUGCUAAAUGACAAAUGUAGUGUAACAAUAAGAAACUAUAAUAAGGGCUUGUGAUUUGUACUGGACAGGUCAGGAAUAAUUAACUAGACUGACUACUGGGUUUGUACUGGACUCGUCAGGAAUAAUUAACUAGACUAACUACUGGGUUUGUACUGGACUCGUCAGGAAUAAUUAACUAGACUAACUACUGGGUUUGUACUGGACUCGUCAGGAAUAAUUAACUAGACUAACUACUGGGUUUGUACUGGACUCGUCAGGAAUAAUUAACUAGACUAACUACUGGGUUUGUACUGGACUCGUCAGGAAUAAUUAACUAGACUAACUACUGGGUUUGUACUGGACUCGUCAGGAAUAAUUAACUAGACUAACUACUGGGUUUGUACUGGACUCGUCAGGAAUAAUUAACUAGACUAACUACUGGGUUUGUACUGGACUCGUCAGGAAUAAUUAACUAGACUAACUACUGGGUUUGUACUGGACAGGUCAGGAAUAAUUAACUAAACUAACUACUGGGUUUGUACUGGACUCGUCAGGAAUAAUUAACUAGACUAACUACUGGGUUUGUACUGGACUCGUCAGGAAUAAUUAACUAGACUAACUACUGGGUUUGUACUGGACAGGUCAGGAAUAAUUAACUAGACUAACUACUAGGUUUGUACUGGACUCGUCAGGAAUAAUUAACUAGACUAACUACUGGGUUUGUACUGGACUCGUCAGGAAUAAUUAACUAGACUAACUACUGGGUUUGUACUGGACUCGUCAGGAAUAAUUAACUAGACUAACUACUGGGUUUGUACUGGACAGGUCAGGAAUAAUUAACUAAACUAACUACUGGGUUUGUACUGGACUCGUCAGGAAUAAUUAACUAGACUAACUACUGGGUUUGUACUGGACUCGUCAGGAAUAAUUAACUAGACUAACUACUGGGUUUGUACUGGACAGGUCAGGAAUAAUUAACUAGACUAACUACUAGGUUUGUACUGGACUCGUCAGGAAUAAUUAACUAGACUAACUACUGGGUUUGUACUGGACUCGUCAGGAAUAAUUAACUAGACUAACUACUGGGUUUGUACUGGACUCGUCAGGAAUAAUUAACUAGACUAACUACUGGGUUUGUACUGGACUCGUCAGGAAUAAUUAACUAGACUAACUACUGGCUUUGUACUGGACAGGUCAGGAAUAAUUAACUAGACUAACUACUGGGUUUGUACUGGACAGGUCAGGAAUAAUUAACUAGACUAACUACUGGGUUUGUACUGGACAGGUCAGGAAUAAUUAACUAGACUAACUACUGGGUUUGUACUGGACUCGUCAGGAAUAAUUAACUAGACUAACUACUGGGUUUGUACUGGACUCGUCAGGAAUAAUUAACUAGACUAACUACUGGGUUUGUACUGGACUCGUCAGGAAUAAUUAACUAGACUAACUACUGGGUUUGUACUGGACUCGUCAGGAAUAAUUAACUAGACUAACUACUGGGUUUGUACUGGACUCGUCAGGAAUAAUUAACUAGACUAACUACUGGGUUUGUACUGGACAGGUCAGGAAUAAUUAACUAGACUAACUACUGGGUUUGUACUGGACUCGUCAGGAAUAAUUAACUAGACUAACUACUGGGUUUGUACUGGACUCGUCAGGAAUAAUUAACUAGACUAACUACUGGGUUUGUACUGGACUCGUCAGGAAUAAUUAACUAGACUAACUACUGGGUUUGUACUGGACAGGUCAGGAAUAAUUAACUAGACUAACUACUGGGUUUGUACUGGACAGGUCAGGAAUAAUUAACUAGACUAACUACUGGGUUUGUACUGGACAGGUCAGGAAUAAUUAACUAGACUAACUACUGGGUUUGUACUGGACAGGUCAGGAAUAAUUAACUAGACUAACUACUGGGUUUGUACUGGACAGGUCAGGAAUAAUUAACUAGACUAACUACUAGGUUUGUACUGGACAGGUCAGGAAUAACUAACUAGAGACUGACUA